AUUGAACGCUGGCGGCAUGCUUUACACAUGCAAGUCGAACGGCAGCACGGACUUCGGUCUGGUGGCGAGUGGCGAACGGGUGAGUAAUACAUCGGAACGUGCCCAGUUGUGGGGGAUAACUACUCGAAAGAGUAGCUAAUACCGCAUGAGAACUGAGGUUGAAAGCAGGGGAUCGUAAGACCUUGCGCAACUGGAGCGGCCGAUGGCAGAUUAGGUAGUUGGUGGGAUAAAAGCUUACCAAGCCGACGAUCUGUAGCUGGUCUGAGAGGACGACCAGCCACACUGGGACUGAGACACGGCCCAGACUCCUACGGGAGGCAGCAGUGGGGAAUUUUGGACAAUGGGCGAAAGCCUGAUCCAGCAAUGCCGCGUGCAGGAUGAAGGCCUUCGGGUUGUAAACUGCUUUUGUACGGAACGAAAAGCUUCGGGUUAAUACCUUGGAGUCAUGACGGUACCGUAAGAAUAAGCACCGGCUAACUACGUGCCAGCCGCCGCUGUAAAAC
rnacentral:rRNA from 1 species